GGGAACUACGAGCUAAGCUUAAAACCCAAAGGACUUGACGGUACCCCAUAUCCCCCUAGAGGAGCCUGUCCUAUAAUCGAUAAUCCACGUUUAACCUCACCAUUUCUAGUUAAUCAGCCUGUAUACCUCCGUCGUCAGCUUACCACGUGAGCGCCAAUUAGUGAGCUUAAUGUCUUUCACCAGCACGUCAGGUCAAGGUGCAGCAAAUGAAAUGGAAAGAGAUGGGCUACACUUUCUAUAUUAGAAAAAACGAAAAACUAUUUAUGAAAACUAGUUGGAAGGCGGAUUUAGCAGUAAAAAGGAAUCAGAAUGUCCAUUUUAACCCGGCACUGGGGUGUGUACACACCGCCCGUCACCCUCUUCAAGGCUUCUUAUCUAGUUCUUAACAAACUAAAGCAUAACAGAAGAGGCAAGUCGUAACAUGGUAAGUAUACCGGAAGGUGUGCUUGGAAA
rnacentral:rRNA from 1 species